rnacentral:rRNA from 1 species
AGUGAACGCUGGCGGCAUGCCUAAUACAUGCAAGUCGAGCGAACGCACGGGAAGCUUGCGUCUCUGCUGUUAGCGGCGGACGGAUGAGUAACACGUGGAUAACCUUCCUAUAAGUCUUGGGUAACUUCGGGGAAACGUAGCUACUACCGGCUCAUAUUUUGUACGGCAUGGUUCAAAAGUGAAAGACAGUCUUCCUGUCACUUAUAGAUGGAUCCGCGUUGCAUUAGCUAGUUGGUAAGGUAACGGCUUACCAAGGCAACGAUGCAUAGCCGACCUGAGAGGGUGAUCGGCCACACUGGAACUGAGACACGGUCCAGACUCCUACGGGAGGCAGCAGUAGGGAAUCUUCCGCAAUGGGCGAAAGCCUGACGGAGCAACGCCGCGUGAGUGAUGAAGGUCUUCGGAUCGUAAAACUCUGUUGUUAGGAAAGAAAAGAUGCGUAAGUAACCGCGCACAUUCUGACGGUACCUAAAGAGAAAGCAACGGCUAACUACGUG